GAAAAUGUUGGUUAAAGGGUACAAAUUUUCUGUUAUAAAAUGAAGAAGUUCUGAGGAAGCUAAUGUACACCAUGGUGACUAUACUAUAUUGGACACUUUAACAGUUUGGAAAGUUUUUGAAAAAUCUAAUAAAUUAUGGGGUAAAAGUUCAAAAAAUGAUGGCACUUAAUAUUCAGAAAUGAAUGAGAUCAGCUGAUUAUUGGAUGCCACCAAAUCUUAUUUCUGGAGUUAGCAACUAUAGGAAAGAAGCAAUUGAAUAAAAUGUAUCUCAAGCUUCCAAAAUAACAAUUAAUUAACUGUAAAGCAACUACAAAGAAAAAAGUAAAUUCAUUACAAAAAAACAAGACUUUCAAUGCUUCUGCGAAGACAUACCUUGUAGGCCUAGUGUGGUGGCUCACAUCUGUAAUUCCAGUGCGUUGAGAGGCUGAGGUGGAAAGACUGCUUGAGGCCAGGAAGUAGAAGCUGCAGUGAGCCGAGAUCAUGCCACUGCUCUCCAGCCUAGGCGGCAGAGAGAGACCAUGUCCCCCCCCAAAACAAAACAGAACAAAGCCAAAAAAAACACCAAAGACAUAUCUUGUAGUGACAGUCAGUCAUUUCUUGCCCCAUUUCUCCCCUCCUUUAUGCUCUACUCCAUCAUUGGGAAGAAGAGAGUUACCACAAAUAACUGGAUCAAGUCACUGCCCUCUGGCUAAAUAGGAAUUCCAAAUAUCUUUUGAUACAAAUACAUACAAAAUGCACAAGGCUUAUAGAAAAAACUUUGGUGAUUUUCAUCCUCAUGAGUACAACUUAAACAUAUUUCAAAUCAGAGUAUAAAGCCACAAAUCAAUAUAUUACAACCACCAUCCAUAUCCAAUCAACUGUCACGCAUCUGGAUGGGGUCCUCUCCCGCUUUCUUCACGGCUAUGUGUUUCCCUCUCUCAUUCUGAGCGUCUUUUUUUUCUCCUUUUCUGUUUUGCACCCCUUUCUUUAUUCCCUCUUUUAUGUCUGUUCUGCCCAAUGCUCUGCAACUUACUUCACCUCUCGUAGCUCUUUCUCCCCAAUCUUUCCGAUUGUCCCCAAUCUCCACGUAUUUCUGCCUCUUUUCCCCCAUCUAAGCUCCCUCUCUGCUCUCCUUGUUAAAUUCCCUCUUCCCUGUUACAUCUCCUUUGUUCCCACUCUCUAGCACCCCCAAUUUCCUAGGCUUACUCCCUGCUGUGGUUCUCCCUCUACUCUGCUUGUCACCCACUGCCCUCUCUCCCUCUCUUUCAGUCCCAGCACCACGUAGCUCUGUCAGCCGCGGCUCCAACUCUUUCACCUUCUCCCCACUGUCUGUCUGUCUGCAGUGCCUCCUCCUUUGCCGCCCCACUCUAUUUUGCUGCCCUUCAUCUCUCUGAAGGUCCCCUUUUUUUCUAAAUUUCUCUGUGUGCUUUUCUCCCCCUGCUACUUUUUCCAUCCGUUCUCUUUCACUCUUGCUCUCUUUGCAAGUCCCUAAAGUAUCAUCCAUUUUGCCGUGUAUUUAUGGGUCUCCCUCAUUCUUUUCUCCUCAGUUUUUCCUUUUGCUCCGUCGUUCCCCGUCUUUUCCUCUCCUGAUCCCUCUCACCCACACAUCUCCUUUGUUCCCACUCUCUAGCACCCCCA
rnacentral:lncRNA from 10 species